rnacentral:rRNA from 1 species
UACGUAGGGGGCAAGCGUUGUCCGGAAUCAUUGGGCGUAAAGCGCGUGUAGGCGGCUCAGUAAGUCCGCUCUGAAAGCCCGGGGCUUAACCCUGGGAGGCGGGUGGAUACUGCUGAGCUCGAGUCCGGAAGAGGCGAGUGGAAUUCCCGGUGUAGCGGUGAAAUGCGCAGAUAUCGGGAGGAACACCAAUGGCGAAGGCAGCUCGCUGGGACGUGACUGACGCUGAGACGCGAAAGCGUGGGGAGCAAACAGG